rnacentral:rRNA from 1 species
AACGAACGCUGGCGGCAGGCUUAACACAUACAAGUCGAACGAUGAAGCCGGAGCUUGCUCCGGUGGAUUAGUGGCGAACGGGUGAGUAACACGUGAGCAAUCUGCCCUUGACUCUGGGAUAACUGCGGGAAACUGUAGCUAAUACCGGAUACGACACCUUGGGGCAUCCCAGGGUGUGGAAAGAAUUUCGGUCAAGGAUGAGCUCGCGGCCUAUCAGCUAGUUGGUGAGGUAAUGGCUCACCAAGGCGACGACGGGUAGCCGGCCUGAGAGGGUGACCGGCCACACUGGAACUGAGACACGGUCCAGACUCCUACGGGAGGCAGCAGUGGGGAAUAUUGCACAAUGGGCGAAAGCCUGAUGCAGCAACGCCGCGUGAGGGAUGAAGGCCUUCGGGUUGUAAACCUCUUUUAGCAGGGAAGAAGCGAAAGUGACGGUACCUGCAGAAAAAGCACCGGCUAACUACGUGCCAGCCGCCGCCGUAA